AGAGUUUGAUUCUGGCUCAGGAUGAACGCUAGCGGCAGGCCUAAUACAUGCAAGUCGAACGGUAAAUGUCCCUUCGGGGAUAUGAGAGUGGCGCACGGGUGCGUAACGCGUAUGCAACCCACCGCUGUCGGGGGAUAGCCCGGAGAAAUUCGAAUUAAUACCCCAUGAGGAGCAGAUGUGGCAUCACAAUUGUUUCAAAACUUCGGUGACGGCGGACGGGCAUGCGUGCCAUUAGAUAGUUGGCGGGGUAACGGCCCACCAAGUCGACGAUGGCUAGGGGAUCUGAGAGGACGGUCCCCCACACUGGUACUGAGACACGGACCAGACUCCUACGGGAGGCAGCAGUAAGGGAUAUUGGUCAAUGGGGGGAACCCUGAACCAGCCCAUGCCGCGUGAGGGAAUAAGGCCCUAUGGGUCGUAAACCUCUUUUGCCGGGGAUAAGGACUUCCACGUGUGGGAGUUUGAAGGUACCCGGAGAAUAAGCAUCGGCUAACUCCGUGCCAGCCGCCGC
rnacentral:rRNA from 1 species